rnacentral:rRNA from 1 species
CAGUCGCCACGGUAAUACGUAGGGUGCGAGCGUUAAUCGGAAUUACUGGGCGUAAAGCGUGCGCAGGCGGUUUUGUAAGACAGGCGUGAAAUCCCCGGGCUCAACCUGGGAAUGGCGCUUGUGACUGCAAAGCUAGAGUGCGGCAGAGGGGGAUGGAAUUCCGCGUGUAGCAGUGAAAUGCGUAGAUAUGCGGAGGAACACCGAUGGCGAAGGCAAUCCCCUGGGCCUGCACUGACGCUCAUGCACGAAAGCGUGGGGAACAAACAGGAUUAGAUACCCGGGUAGUCCCUGUCUCUUAUAC